rnacentral:rRNA from 1 species
ACACGACUACAUUAGAUACCCGCGUAGUCCUGGCCGUAAACGAUGUGGACUUGGUGUUGGAAUGGCUCCGAGCUGCUCCAGUGCCGAAGGGAAGCUGUUAAGUCCACCGCCUGGGAAGUACGGUCGCAAGACUGAAACUUAAGGAAUUGGCGGGGAGCACCACAACGCGUGGAGCCUGCGGUUUAAUUGGAUUCAACGCCGGAAAACUCAUCGGGAGCGACAGCAGUAUGAUUGCCAGGUUGAUGACCUUGCUUGACAAGCUG